rnacentral:rRNA from 1 species
UACAUGUGGGGCAAGCGUUGUUCGGAAUUACUGGGCAUAAAGGGUGCGUAGGUGGCUUGUUAAGUCAGGGGUGAAAGUUUUCGGCCCAACCGGAAAAUGGCCUUUGAUACUGGCGAGCUCGAGUGCGUGAGGGGUAACCGGAACGAGCAGUGUAGCGGCGAAAUGCGUAGAUAUUGCUCGGAAGGCCAACGGCGAAGGCAGGUUACUGGUGCGCAACUGACACUGAGGCACGAAAGCGUGGGGAGCAAACAGG